CCUACGGGAGUCAGCAGUAGGGAAUCUUUCACAAUGGGCGAAAGCCUGAUGGAGCAACGCCGCGUGCAGGAUGAAGGCCUUCGGGUUGUAAACUGCUUUUAUAAGCGAGAAAUAUGAUGGUAACUUAUGAAUAAGGAUCGGCUAACUACGUGCCAGCAGCCGCGGUCAUACGUAGGAUCCGAGCAUUAUCCGGAGUGACUGGGUGUAAAGAGUUGCGUAGGUGGCAUAAUAAGUAGCUAGUGAAAUCUGGUGGCUCAACCAUUCAGACUAUUAGCUAAACUGUUAAGCUCGAGACCGUUAGGGGUAACUGGAAUUUCUAGUGUAGGAGUGAAAUCCGUAGAUAUUAGAAGGAACACCAAUAGCGUAGGCAGGUUGCUGGGACGGUUCUGACACUAAGGCACGAAAGCGUAGGGAGCAAACGGGAUUAGAUACCCCUGUAGUC
rnacentral:rRNA from 1 species